rnacentral:rRNA from 1 species
AUGCACGCUGGCGGCGUGCCUAAUACAUGCCAGUCGAGCGAACGGACGAGAAGCUUGCUUCUCUGAUGUUAGCGGCGGACGGGUGAGUAACACGUGGAUAACCUACCUAUAAGACUGGGAUAACUUCGGGAAACCGUAGCUAAUACCGGAUAAUAUUUUGAACCGCAUGGUUCAAAAGUGAAAGACGGUCUUGCUGUCACUUAUAGAUGGAUCCGCGCUGCAUUAGCUAGUUGGUAAGGUAACGGCUUACCAAGGCAACGAUGCAUAGCCGACCUGAGAGGGUGAUCGGCCACACUGGAACUGAGACACGGUCCAGACUCCUACGGGAGGCAGCAGUAGGGAAUCUUCCGCAAAGGGCGAAAGCCUGACGGAGCAACGACGCGUGAGUGAUGAAGGUCUUCGGAUCGUAAAACUCUGUUAUUAGGGAAGAACAUAUGUGUAAGUAACUGUGCACAUCUUGACGGUACCUAAUCAGAAAGCCACGGCUAACUACGUG